GAUGACUUUUGGCGGCGUGCUUAACACAUGCAAGUCGAGCGAAGCACUUAAGUUUGAUUCUUCGGAUGAAGAUUUUUGUGACUGAGCGGCGGACGGGUGAGUAACGCGUGGGUAACCUGCCUCAUACAGGGGGAUAACAGUUAGAAAUGACUGCUAAUACCGCAUAAGACCACGGUACCGCAUGGUACAGUGGUAAAAACUCCGGUGGUAUGAGAUGGACCUGCGUCUGAUUAGGUAGUUGGUGGGGUAACGGCCUACCAAGCCGACGAUCAGUAGCCGACUUGAGAGGGUGACCGGCCACAUUGGGACUGAGACACGGCCCAGACUCCUACGGGAGGCAGCAGUGGGGAAUAUUGCACAAUGGAGGAAACUCUGAUGCAGCGACGCCGCGUGAAGGAUGAAGUAUUUCGGUAUGUAAACUUCUAUCAGCAGGGAAGAAAAUGACGGUACCUGACUAAGAAGCCCCGGCUGACUACGUGCCAGCAGCCGCGGUAAUACGUAGGGGGCAAGCGUUAUCCGGAUUUACUGGGUGUAAAGGGAGCGUAGACGGCACGGCAAGCCAGAUGUGAAAGCCCGGGGCUCAACCCCGGGACUGCAUUUGGAACUGCUGAGCUAGAGUGUCGGAGAGGCAAGUGGAAUUCCUAGUGUAGCGGUGAAAUGCGUAGAUAUUAGGAGGAACACCAGUGGCGCCGGCGGCUUGCUGGACGAUGACUGACGUUGAGGCUCGAAAGCGUGGGGAGCAAUC
rnacentral:rRNA from 1 species